CAGUAACAUUUUUGAAAAGUAAAGGAAACAUGAUCUUAAGCAGCUGAAAAGGUAGAUGACUGAGACAAAAGUGGUGAAGUCAAAUUUUAGAUUUAUUUAAGAAGCCAGAAUUAAUGAAAGAAUCACUUCGCGAAGAGCAGGAGAGGGUUAACCGAGUACCUUUAUCCAUAGAACCACUGACUUCUUCAAGAUAGUAGAGACCAUUCCGUUCUUUAGCAAAUCCAAUCAUCCUCCCCAUAACCU
rnacentral:lncRNA from 1 species